rfam:TPA: Bos taurus chromosome 11, whole genome shotgun sequence.
UCCCUGGUGGCUCAGUGGUAAAGAAUCUGCCUGCCAAUGCAGGAGACACAGGUUCCAUCCCUGAUCUGGGAA